GAUGUCUUAGAUCUUCCAGCUGAGGCACCCCCGUCAACACACGGAGCGGAAACAGCCAUCCUCACUCACCCAUCCGCACCUCUAACCCAGAGAACUAUCCAGUGUUCUGGCAUUUGAAUUACAAUAUGUUCUGAAGAAAAGAAUGCAGAGUUUGGAAGCCACGCGCCUUCACUUCAUAUACCUCAUGAGCUGUAUGGUUCUGGGCAUGUUUGAAAGCUUCCUGCUCCUGAUUUCCUCCAUUUAAAAUAGAAGUAUUUCCUGGGAUGGUAGACAGCACAAAGUGCAAGAACAAAUGGAAAAUUUAUACAAAAACAAAAGCACUUCAUUUCUAUAACCCUGGCAGGUCCUCUGUAUUUGCAUGCCAUGUGUGUCAGGUUUUCUGUCAUAGGCUUGAACUUUCAAAAUAUAUCUGCCUAUCGAUCUGGAAGACAAGACAAACAGUAUUUCUGUCCUAUGGCUUUUUGUCGAGAAAAGUGAGAUUUGAGCAUGAGAGAUUUUGCUAUUCUCCACAUGGUAUUUUGUUGUGGGCUACUACAAGACCCACAGGGAAAAUCCACAUGAAGGAGACAUUAUCAUAGGGGGUUGAAAGCUGAAGUUUAUAUAAAGAAAUGCUUUGGCUUGGGGGUUCAUAUAGAGCUUAGGACUGCUAGCUCUACCAAUGAAAGAAUUAUGGUAGUUUUAUGUCCCUCCUCAAAUACAAUUUGAAAUAUUUUUAAAAAUCACACUUUGGAGGACAUCAUGUUAAGUGAAAUAAGCCAGGCACAUGAAGCAAAUACUCCAUGUUCUUGCUCAUUUGUAGAAACUAAAAAAUUGGUAUCAAAAAAGUGGAAUAGAGACCAGGAAGGAGAUGAAGAACAAUGCAGAGAGAUUAGAUCGGGGAGAAAACACAGUCACAUAGAAGAAAUUAGUUCUGGUGUUCAAUAGUCUAAUAGGCUACAAAAAUCUGUAUUUUCAAAUAACUAGAAAAGCAUGAGUUACCAAUACGUAGAAAUGAUUGAUGAUAUAGAAAAUAGCAUGAUUUGGUCAUUAAACAUUGUAUACAUGUAUCAAAAUUGUACAGUACUCCACAAAUACAUACAAAUAUUAUGUGUCCAAAAAUAAGCUUUAAAAAUCACAACAAACCCUAAAGGUAAUGAAGCCCAAGUUUCUGAUUUGCCCCAUAAGUACUUCAAAGCUUUGUGUGAAAUACCAAAUCUUUCCAAUUUUUUUCUUGAUGUCCUAAACAGUGGCUCUCAAAGUAUGUUCCCUAAACCAGGAGCAACAGCUUCACCUGUGGCCCUGUUAGAAACACUAAUUGAGGCCUCACCCCCAAAUUUACUGAAGAAACUUGGGGGUGCUAGAUUCAGCAGCACAUACACUAAAAUUGCAAUGAUACAGAGAUUAGAGUGGACCCUGAGCAAGGAUGAGAUGCAAAUUCAUGAAGCAGUCCAUAUUUUUCGGGAAA